GUUGCCAUUAGCUAUCGAGCACCUAGCUAGGCGGCGUUAGCUCACGCCAAUUCAUGACUAAAGGCGGCUUUGGCGCCAACAAGAAGACAUUUGCGACAUGAAAACAAACUUACCUGAUGUUAGAUACCCACAAACAUUUAGCCAACUCAGUGGAAGGCACUUCGUCUCUAAAAUAACCACGACGGCGACUUGUGCGGAACCACCCUCUGUUACUGCCAGGGCAAAAAGGCUGACCUACAAAUGCAAAAAUGCAGGUUAUUCCAACUGGACAUGAUUCAGCAUGUGAAGCCUGCUGCACGCUGAUACAGCCACCAGGCACUGAACACCCACACGCAUGCAAUCUGACUGAUUAAUUCUCUUUACAUUGAAAGGAAAACUGCUUUUGGAA